rnacentral:rRNA from 1 species
AUUGAACGCUGGCGGCAGGCCUAACACAUGCAAGUCGAGCGCGCGGCGGACGGGUGAGUAAUGUAUGGGGAUCUGCCUGAUGGCGGGGGAUAACUAAUGUAAACGGUAGCUAAUACAGCAUACCAUCAGAUGAACCCAUAUGGGAUUAGCUCGUAGGUAAGGUAACGGCUUACCUCGGCGCCGAUCCCUAGCUGGUCUGAGAGGAUGAUCAGCCACACUGGGACUGAGACACGGCCCAGACUCCUACGGGAGGCAGCAGUGGGGAAUAUUGCACAAUGGGCGCAACCCUGAUGCAGCCAUGCCGCGUGUAUGAAGAAGGCCUUCGGGUUGUAAAGUACUUUCAGUCGGGAGGCGUUACCGACAGAAGAAGCACCGGCUAACUCCGUGCCAGCAGCCGCGGUAAUUC